rnacentral:lncRNA from 1 species
GCCCCAGCCUCCCAGAGUGCUGGGAUUACAGGCAUGAGCCACCACGCCUGGCCAAGACCAUAAAUCUUAAUUAAUCUAGUUCAUAGUCUCAAAUUCAUUCUACUCUCUGAUUUUUAUUUCUCCCAACUUACUGUGUGCACGCACCCCCCCUUUUUAAUGACAUUUCUCUGAUUUGCACUGCCAUCCUCUCUCCUACUUCAGUGAUCCAGCAUCCACAAUUCAUUUUGUCAUAGGUGAGGCUUACCUCUUUCCUGUCAGUUCUUCACCUGUACAGAUUGCUUCCUUUUCUCUUUUUGCACUUAUUGUUUGCAACACCCAAUGACUUCUUGUAGAGAGCCCAAUUCUGUAGUUGAUAAAACCCACACAUGCACGUAUGUUACAUCUGGCUCGGAAUUGGAAGCUCCAUGGAGAAAGGAAAUGGCUUUUGUUUCUUCAGUAUCUUCACACUCCCAAAUGUGCUGAUAUCUUUAGUCGUUCUUAGCUAAAUGAGUCAAUUGAAAUAAUAAUCUGGAGGGAUUUUUUUAAAUCUCAAAAAUUUUCUAAGUCCCAUGUCUCUUAAAUGAAAAAUUGUCAAAUGAAGGAGCCAUUUUCAGGAUUUUAAUUUAUGUAUUAAUGGUACUCUACUUCCACCCCAAAAGGAUUUAAGGUGAGCUUAAAAUAUUAUGAAAAUAAGAUAAGAUUAUUAAUUCCAUCCAUGCAAGCUCUAAAAUCUUCUAUUUCUAGAUACUAAUCUAAACAAUGAAGAGGUUAUUUUUUAAAGACAAAAGGUGUGCUUUAUAAUAUCUCUCAUUAUCAUGUUAAGAAAAAAAACCAAAAACACAGAUAAAAAAUUUCAGAAAUAUUUUUGCGUUUUCUUUGCAUAUCAUACACAUACACACACACACAUACAUACAUACACAGUCACACUAGAACUGUACUGGCAGUGAACAUAGGUUGUUUAAAGUAUAGCUAUUCAACUGUCAUAUAAAGUGAAAUCUAUAUUUUCUCUCUCCCUAUAUGACUAUAUAUUUAACAUCUCUAUGCAUAUGUGUGUGCAUACAUAUGUAUAUGUUAUAUACACACACUCCACAUUAUUAUUUCAAAGGGGAUUUUGCUCCUUCUGGCUACCAGCAAUAACUAGUCAAUAUUUACACUCUUGAAUAUCGAUGACAUCAUGCAUACACAGGAAAGCUGUGGAAAACAUCUCCAUUUUCAAACAGAGUUUUAAUUAUUUGUAAAGACUUCAAUUGUUCACUAAUGUCAUGGAUUGGUCCUCACAGUGUGAAGUGCAACUGCCCAGAUCCCCCACAGUAUUAUAAAUAGUCUUCUAAAGCCGGGUUGAUUGAUGUUUGGCAUAAAACUCUAUUCCUCUGAGCACAUAUAUUCCUUCUGUUCACUAUUUUCAUAGAAAAAUACCAGGGCUGAUUUUUUAUUCAAAUCUCCAAUUUAUGCAGGGUUUAAACUACUAAAUACUUAAAGCCGUUUUCAGAUCUUUCCCCCCUUUUCUGUUAGGUAGGUAACUAAAUCUUUGGCUUCAAUGCAAAUAAGAAUUGGAGAUUUAGCAGAUUCCUGUGGGGGAGAGGAAGAGUUUAUUAAUUAUAUUGAGAAUCAAAUAAUAUGCUUCUUUGACACUAAUGUUCCAUCUUUCUCCACCCCAAGUAUCCUAUGGGACAACUUUAAAGCCUUUAUCAGGGUCUAAAUUACUGCAUUUAUGGUUCCUUAGAAGUAGGAAUUUAAUGAAUGGCAUUCUGAGUUGAAGAGAGAAUUUGAAGGUUUAAGCUGCAACGGUGAAGCAAUUUUUUUCAAAGUAUGUGGCAGGGAUUGUAAUAUAAAACAUCAAAAAAAGCACAAUAAAAUACAUUUUCAUGAGUGUUAAUAAAUUUUUAAUACUGAUGAAAUGUAAAUUUUUCCUUCAUGACCCUUAUCUGCAUUUGACAGAGUCCAACAGAAAAUUUUAAGUACCUGUUUAAAGCAAUUUACAAGAUACUGUGGAGAUUCCCAGCAAUAAAGAAUGUACUAUAGUUAAGCUGGAAUCCAACUCCUGAAUUUCUGGAGCCCUGAAGACCACUUAGUCUUACUCACAAGAAUUGAAUGGAAUGUGAAUCUACACUCAGGUGAAGCCAGGGUAUUUUGAACGUCCCUACAAGACUGAAGCACCACUGGGAAAUAAGUAAUAGAGAUGCCAUCAUUGUGGAGGUCAUAAUGCUUGUCCUGAACACGAGGGGUCUCUAGUGAGGCACCAAUUCAGCUCCUCUUCUGUGGAGAGACUACAUGGGUGCUGAAGAAACAAAGACACAACGCAGCUCCUCUCAAAGGAGUUCAGAGCUUAGCAGGGGAGACAGAACCAUGAAUGCAUAGUUACGCAUCAAUGUGCUGCACGAGCACUGAAGCCCAAGCACAAGCGGCCUGAGUCCCAAAAACAUUUGCUGACUGCUGUUCUAUCUAGGAUAUCAUCAGUGUGUAGAUGAUCAGAGUUCAUGUCAGUGUUCCUACAAGCCAAUGAAGAAAAACAGAGAUCUGUGUUCUGAAUGGAAAAAUUCCUACUGAUGCCAGUAAGUGAGCCAUCCAUCUAUGAUGUGUCUAUGGGGAAGAAAGUGACAUGAAUGAGUAAAAUAGAAUAUAUGCUUUAAAUCAUGAAAAUUGAGUCCAGAUGGAAAGGUUAGGAGGAAAUGGAGUGGAAAGGUGGAUGAAGAAGAGUGAGAACUCAUGCAGUCGUUGCGACUUGGUUGACACUUCCUUCCCUGUGACUACAAUUCCAAGUUCAGUACUCCUGAGCUUUUAUAGAUGGAUGAGAAUAUAGGGGGAAGAAACAAGAGGAAGGAGUUUUCUGAAAUCUCGGUGGAGAGGAGGGAGAAAAAAGAUGGGAAAAUGUUACAAGCAUUCUGUUCAUGUUGUAUCACUUAGUGCAGUCUUGUCUUCCCAGCCCACUAGUCUGGAACAAGUCAGUCUCAAACAUAACAACAGACACUGGGGAGCUCUCCAACAAAAGAUCACCUCCCAAAGAACAGGAUGGUGUCGAAGACUGAAUGCCAGCCUGAGGAAACAGAAAUACUACAGAAGCACGCCAGAGCCUGCAGUGUCUCCUCGCUGCCUCUCAAUGAACUGCUAAAAGACCAAGAACUCUGCUGAGAGAUAAGAAGAGGGGAGGGUGUGCUGCAGGUGGUGCUGGGAGGCCCAGACCUUCUCCUGACAUCUGGGGCUGGCUACAGGAAACAGAAACAUCACCCAGGCCUUGGCGCGAGACAGGACAGAGGCAGAUUGUGACUCAGAUCUGCAGGUGGAAAGUGGGCCUUUCGUUUUCUCCUAGGGGUAGAGCAAAGCCAGAGGGCUCAGUCAGAGGAAACCUAAGGCAGUUCAUGAUCCCUUCAACUUUAUACCAUUUCCUCAAAACUGCCUCCAAACAGUGGGCAACUGGAAAGGUGGUCUGACCUCCAGUGAUCACACAGUAUGCAUUAUAACAGAAGGCUGUCACUGUCAAUUGCAUGGCUCCCUCACUAUGCAUUCCUUCUAUCAAUUUACGACAACACACUGUAGUGAGUACCUGCACAUUGCUGGGUAUUUUGGCAGACAUUGAUAGUAGAUGAAUAACACCUGGUACUUGACCUUGAGACGCUCACUGCCUAGUGUGGGGAACCAAUGGUUGCAAUAUAAAGUAUUAACUAGAGGGAUAGAGGACUGCCUGAGGAUCUCUGCACUCAGAGGAAGGGCCAUGAGAUCAGCCAGGACAGUAGGGAGGCAGUGACUCAUGAAAUUAGCAAGUGGUGAGAAGAGGGCAGUAGAUUCAGCGGCUGCUAAAAAAGGUUACUGAACUUUUUGUUUCAUCAAUGCCAAGAAAUUAAUCUGUUUUAGCCUCUUUCAUGGCCUCUGUUUGAAAUUUUUUAACUUUUUUUUUUUUUUUAGAUUUAGGGGUACAAGGACAGUUGUAUUGCAUGAGUAUAUCAUAUAGUGGUGAAGCCUGGGCUUUAAGUGCACCUAUCACCCGAAUAGCGUACAUUGUACCCACUAGGUAGUAUUUCAUUUCUCACCCUUCUUCCACCUUUUGGAAUCUCCAGUGUUUGUUGUUCUACUCUGUAUGCCCAUGUGUACUCAUUGUUUCACUCCCACUUAUAAGUGAGAACAUGUGCUUUUGACUUUCUGUUUCUGAGUUGUUUCACUUAGGAUAAUGCAUGUUCCUGUUUUGAUUCAGUCAAAAUCCUGGGGUCAGCACUGACAAUGUGAUUAACCCCUGUCCUAAAUUCACUGCAGAGGAACUGCUCCCAUAUGACUACUUAUUACCACCCAAGCCAGAAACCACAAAGAUAUUCUGACCUCUCCUCCUUCACUCCCCACCAACUGGUGAGUAAGCUAGUCACCAAGUCUUGAUUCUACUUGCAAACAUCUUUGGAAGGGAUCUCUCACUCCACACAGUCUCUGUCAUUGCCAAGUAUACCCAUUACCUCUGCUCUGUCCUACGGCUCAUCAUUCCUCAUCUACAUGCUGCACCAACCUCCUAACUCCCAUUCCUCCCCCUCCUAGUUCACUGCCAUAGCGUAAUCUUUCUAUAUCACGGAUCAUAUUGU